UACUUCAUUGAGACUUCGGUGGAUUUGAUUUAUUUCUAGUGGCGGACGGGUGAGUAACGCGUGGGUAACCUGCCUUAUACAGGGGGAUAACAGUCAGAAAUGGCUGCUAAUACCGCAUAAGCGCACAGAGCUGCAUGGCUCAGUGUGAAAAACUCCGGUGGUAUAAGAUGGACCCGCGUUGGAUUAGCUGGUUGGUGGGGUAACGGCCCACCAAGGCGACGAUCCAUAGCCGGCCUGAGAGGGUGAACGGCCACAUUGGGACUGAGACACGGCCCAGACUCCUACGGGAGGCAGCAGUGGGGAAUAUUGCACAAUGGGGGAAACCCUGAUGCAGCGACGCCGCGUGAAGGAAGAAGUAUCUCGGUAUGUAAACUUCUAUCAGCAGGGAAGAUAGUGACGGUACCUGACUAAGAAGCCCCGGCUAACUACGUGCCAGCAGCCGCGGUAAUACGUAGGGGGCAAGCGUUAUCCGGAUUUACUGGGUGUAAAGGGAGCGUAGACGGUGUGGCAAGUCUGAUGUGAAAGGCAUGGGCUCAACCUGUGGACUGCAUUGGAAACUGUCAUACUUGAGUGCCGGAGGGGUAAGCGGAAUUCCUAGUGUAGCGGUGAAAUGCGUAGAUAUUAGGAGGAACACCAGUGGCGAAGGCGGCUUACUGGACGGUAACUGACGUUGAGGCUCGAAAGCGUGGGG
rnacentral:rRNA from 1 species